AUUGAACGCUGGCGGCAGGCCUAACACAUGCAAGUCGAACGAGUGGCGGACGGGUGAGUAAUGUCUGGGAAACUGCCCGAUGGAGGGGGAUAACUACUGGAAACGGUAGCUAAUACCGCAUACCAUCGGAUGUGCCCAGAUGGGAUUAGCUAGUAGGUGGGGUAACGGCUCACCUGGGCGACGAUCCCUAGCUGGUCUGAGAGGAUGACGAGCCACACUGGAACUGAGACACGGACCAAACUCCUACGUGAGAGAGCAGUAGGGAAUAUUGCACAAAGGGAGCAAGCCUGAUGCAGCGAUGCCGCGUGUAUGAAGAAGGCCUUCGGGUUGUAGAGUACUUUCAGCGAGAAGGCGUUACUCGCAGAAGAAGCACCGGCUAACUCCGUGCCAGCAGCCGCGGUAGUUC
rnacentral:rRNA from 1 species